rnacentral:snRNA from 1 species
GUGAUGAGAAACAUAUACUGAAAUUGGAAUGAUACAGGGAAGAUUAGCAUGGCUCCUGUGCAAGGAUGACAUGCAAAUUUGUGAAGUGUUCUAUAUUUUU